rnacentral:rRNA from 1 species
AUGGACGGGAGAUUGGACCUGGUUAAAACGGUGCUCUCGGCCAUGCCGAUCUUCCAGAUGAUCGCGUUGAUCAUGCCAACUUGGCUUGCGAAGCUGAUUGACAAGGUGCGGCGUGGUUUUCUCUGGGAGGGCACCGAGGCGACAUCAGGGGGCAAGUGUUUGGUCAGCUGGAGAACUGUUUGUAGGCCUAAGGAGCUCGGCGGGCUCGGCAUCACCAACGUGCUGGCACAUAGUAGGGCAUUGCGGAUGAGAUGGCUCUGGCGCUCCUGGACCGAUGGCAACAAGGCUUGGGACGGGCUA